CAGAGGUAGAGAGAAAGAGAGAGAAGGAGAGAAAGACAGAGAGAAAGAGAGGGUUGUUGUAUCAGGCCAGCAUGCGGUGACCCACUGAAGAUAACGAUCCUGUUGAUUUAUAAACAUGUAUACACAUUUUGUUUUUUAUAUACAGGAAUCAAUGCCAAGGACCACUGGCUCAACUGGAGUGGAGCCAAAAUGGGAGACAGAUGGAUCCAGAUUUCUCCAGCACCUCAGUGUUUGUGGUGAAAACCUGUUUCUAUCCAAGCCGGAUAGACUGCUGCUGCUGAAGCACACACAAGGCCCGGCUCCCGUUUAGUCCAACGCAACUGGAAUCGAGAAUAUCCCACAUGGCUGAAUGUGGACAAUAUUAGCAUAAAGCUGUCAGCAAACAAGACCUUCAAGCAUAAAUGGAUGGUGCUAGACUUGCCUACUGUGGGUGUUUCUCUGGCAGUGUCUUAGCUGGUUGUUGUGAGGAGUGAGAACGAAGCAAUCAGCAAGUAUACUGCCGCAGAAACUCUUGCGAUAAAUGGGCCCUGGAACGGGAGGAAGAGCCAAAGAAAAUGGGCCCAAACAAGCGGAACAAGAACAUGUCUUUCAAUUCUCUUACGAAACAAAUAUACUUAUACUAUGAAUGAUGGAGCUGCCACCAUAACGUAACAGGGUCCGUUUUCAGCCUCUAUUGACCAUGUGAUCGGACGUCAGUAAAAUUAUGUUUUAAUGCAAUACUGACAUCUGGUGGUAAGUAAAAACACAGCGCUUACUAGUAUGCUGGAGAGCAGCAAAAGCCACUGCCACUUUAAAAUUGUGGCAUUAGUAUUGUACACUUGUAAAAAUCCUGAAUGUAAUAAAAUUAAGUAAAAAUGCAAGACUUUUUCUUUUUUAUUGUUAAGUGCUUGAGCAUUCAGAACAAUGAUAAAGCACAAAGGUAAUGCUAUCAUUCAUGCUGAUAACAAUGAUGAUAAUAAUUAUUAUAAACUAAACUAUUCUUGCUGUUAUUAUUGUAAGUUGUAGCAUUGAUAGUAGCAAUUAGUAGUAGUAUUGUGGCGGGCUAUAGUUUUACAUUCAAUAGAAAAUAUAACAUUAUAGAUUACCUUAUAUAGCCUAUAUAUAUAUGUAUAAACUUCUAAAAUCUGGAAUGCACACGACAUAAACUGGAAAUGUCCGUAUAGUGACUGUUACUGUAAGUAAGCUACAUUUACACGAUGAAGAGUUAUUUUUGUAAUUUUUGUCAACUUCCUCUCAGAAACCAUUGCUGUAGUUUAUUUGUAUGGUUUGUUGCGGCCAAUAAUAGAGGCAGCGAUAUGAAGUUGUUGUCAUUACCUGGCUAUGGAGGUGGCCCAAAAUAAUCCAUCUGCGAACCAUUGAGGCGUUAUUUAAAAUGCCAAUAGUCCAUAUAAAAUAUAAAUAGAUUUCUGUAGGAAAUACAGAAAUAUUGAUAUGAAAUACAACCGGAAACAGGCAAUACAUAUAUAAAUGAAUGAACAUAUGAAUAUAUAAAUGAGUCAAAACAAUGAAUCAAUAAAUAACGUUUUAUAAUAUCUCAUAUCGCUCAGAGCUAAAGCACCCUGGAACAGCACAGAAACACUGAAUAUACAGCAGCACUAGUAAUUAUACGAUGAUCCGCAAACUUUCUAGAGCACUCUUUCCCAAAGACUGGGUCGCGACCCACAUGUGGAUCGCGGGAGAUUUCAAUUGGGUCGCCAAAUUAAUGUAAAAUGAAAAAUAAAUAAGGCCUUUUGUGAAUUUGGUCGCGAUGGUUUGUAAUUUUAAAAAAAUGGGUUCCAAGAAAAAAAGUUUGAGAAAUACUGUUUAGAGGAUGGAAGUACAGUAGUCUCGAACUCUGUCCUCAUCGAUUAACUGUCGCUCCUUUCUGCAUUCGGUUCCUCAUGGAUGGUGAUCCUACUACUACCAUGACCGUGGGUUCUACCCAUGGACCUAUUAAAGAAGAUUCUACCAGAGGCAUCUUACUGCUCUGGGAUCUAGCGCGGCAGCAGAUUUGAAUCAGAAACAUGUAGGCACGCAUGACAAGUUCGGGAAACCCGGAAGUCGGCGGAUUGCAAUCAUAAAAUCUUGUUAUUUUCGUGCUCGUGCUGGCAACUCAGCCACUUUAAAGUCGGGGCUGUCUAUGGUACUUUUGAACAUAAAAGUCCAUCUAUAAAUAAAUAAAAUCCCCCUGCAAUAAAGAAAUGCUGACAUUUUAAAUAGAAGCCCCUUGAAAUAUAAAAAAGUUGCUAUUCUUUAAUAAAAUACAAUUUUUUUUAAAUAUUAUAUUUGUAUUAGCUCAGGAUGCCAUAAUAAUUUAUUAUGAAUAAUAAAUGGCACUCCAUUGCCUUACAUCAGAGUGA